GUCGAGCGGACAGAAGGGAGCUUGCUCCCGGAAGUUAGCGGCGGACGGGUGAGUAACACGUAGGUAACCUGCCCCUUAGACUGGGAUAACUCCGGGAAACCGGAGCUAAUACGGGAUAAUAAAGAGAAUCGCCUGAUUUUCUUUUGAAAGACGGUUUCGGCUGUCACUAAGGGAUGGACCUGCGGCGCAUUAGCUAGUUGGUAAGGUAACGGCUUACCAAGGCGACGAUGCGUAGCCGACCUGAGAGGGUGAUCGGCCACACUGGGACUGAGACACGGCCCAGACUCCUACGGGAGGCAGCAGUAGGGAAUCUUCCGCAAUGGACGAAAGUCUGACGGAGCAACGCCGCGUGAGUGAGGAAGGCCUUCGGGUCGUAAAGCUCUGUUGUGAGGGAAGAACAAGUGCCGGCGUAACUACCGGCACCUUGACGGUACCUCACCAGAAAGCCACGGCUAACUACGUGCCAGCAGCCGCGGUAAUACGUAGGUGGCAAGCGUUGUCCGGAAUUAUUGGGCGUAAAGCGCGCGCAGGCGGCUUCUUAAGUCUGAUGUGAAAUCUCGGGGCUCAACCCCGAGCGGCCAUUGGAAACUGGGGAGCUUGAGUGCAGAAGAGGAGAGUGGAAUUCCACGUGUAGCGGUGAAAUGCGUAGAUAUGUGGAGGAACACCAGUGGCGAAGGCGACUCUCUGGUCUGUAACUGACGCUGAGGCGCGAAAGCGUGGGGAGCAAACAGGAUUAGAUACCCUGGUAGUCCACGCCGUAAACGAUGAGUGCUAGGUGUUAGGGGUUUCGAUGCCCGUAGUGCCGAAGUAAACACAUUAAGCACUCC
rnacentral:rRNA from 2 species